rnacentral:rRNA from 1 species
UACGGGGGGAGCAAGCGUUGUCCGGAGUUACUGGGCGUAAAGCGCGCGCAGGCGGCGGUGUUGGCCCGGCGUGAAAGCCCCCGGCUCAACCGGGGAGAGUCGUCGGGGACCGCACCGCUUGAGGGCGGUAGGGGCUGGUGGAAUGCCUGGUGUAGUGGUGAAAUGCGUAGAGAUCAGGCAGAACACCUGGGGCGAAGGCGGCCAGCGUGGGCCGUCCCUGACGCUGAGGCGCGAAGGCGUGGGGAGCGAACGGG